UACGUAGGGGGCUAGCGUUGUCCGGAAUCAUUGGGCGUAAAGCGCGUGUAGGCGGCCCGAUAAGUCCGCUGUGAAAGUCCAGGGCUCAACCCUGGGAUGCCGGUGGAUACUGUCGGGCUCGAGUCCGGAAGAGGCGAGUGGAACUCCUGGUGUAGCGGUGAAAUGCGCAGAUAUCAGGAGGAACACCAAUGGCGAAGGCAGCUCGCUGGGACGUGACUGACGCUGAGACGCGAAAGCGUGGGGAGCAAACAGG
rnacentral:rRNA from 1 species